ensembl:lncRNA
AUAUGCCACCCAGUGAGCAGCACUUGAAGGCGUGGACGUCUUCUUCACGUCGCGCUACGUCAUUCCCCGGUCAUCCGACAGCAGACCUCUGGCUCCAUCUGGUGGCCGUGCACGGUACGCGCAUCUCAGACUGAAGAGCGCUUCCUCCUUUUCCGCCAGAUUUCUGGUUCUCCGCCAAGUUGAGUUACACGUCAGUGGAGAACCUGUACUGGUGAGUGGACGUGUACAGCGCGCGUCAGACGGUUCCCGGAUGCGCCGGACAGAAACAUGGAACGGGUGGUGGUGGAGGUGCCGAUCAACAACGGUUUUUCCCUCGCCGGCCCUUCCUCAACCCCACGUAAGCGCCAGGUGCGUUUUUCAGCACGGCAUGACAUCAUCCUUCUGCGGGAGGUCAUCGCCCAGAACCCCUUUGCCUCCAAAGAGCCAGGGCGAAUCUGGGCCCGUGUGGGAGAGAUUAUCACUGCAGCCCUCCAGGAUGAAAACUUUGAGGUGGAUGCCAGGAGGUGUAGAGAGAGGACCAUGCUGCUGCUCGACUACUAUAAGAAACAAGACUUUCCCAGUCUGCGCAGAUUUGGAACAGAGAGACUGUACGCCCAAAAGGAGGAUCUUCUCCAUGAGGUUCUGGAGCUGGAGGCUGAGAAGGGGCUCCUUGCCAGCGGGGAAAGCACUAAGUAUCAGGAGGAUGACCUGAGAAAGCGAGCCAUGGAAGAACUAAAUCUGCCAGAGCAGGACAAACCCAACAUCACAAUCACUCAAACAGCCACUGCAGGUGAUAACAGAUUCAAACACACCAGACAGGACCGGGCCGUGUCACCUGAUACCCACAGCACAAAGUUGAAAGAAAAUCAAAGUCAUUCAGAAUGCUAUGAAUUCAGGGUUGAUGGUGUAUCUGAAACAUUUUACGUAAUUCCCACCACAGCAGAACCAGAAGAAGAUCGUGAGGAAAUGGCAGAGCUUUCAGCUGCGCCCAUGGCCAAGCGGCCCUGCCAGUGCUGCUGCCAGACCUACUCUGAGAUUCUCAGCUUCCUGGAGAAACGCUCCGAGGCAGAGCAGCGGCUGCGUGAGGAGGAGCUCGCUCUGCGCAGGGAGGAGCUGGAGAUUCAAAGGAGUAAGAUUUGUGGAGAGAUUUAUAGUGUGAUUUCAACCUGAAAAGGGGUUGAAAAUAUUUGACCUUGCUACGUUGUAGGUGCCAUUUUUGGUUUACUUUUAUCUUGUAAAGUGAGCCUGAGAAUCAGUCUGAAUUUCCAUUUCAUUUAUAAAAUCUGAAAUUUGGACAAUAAUUCAUGGGUCUCUCUCCCUUUUUAUUUUGUACUCGCAGGUAAGAUCGCUCUGGAGAGGGAACGUUUGGGAGCUGAGAGAAAAGAGAGGGAACGCAGAUUUGAGCUGGAGAGCCAAGAGAGGCAGGUCAUCUUGGACCUGCUAAAAGAGAAGGUGCUGAAAGGCUGACAGAGUAGAAAUGUAUCACCUGCAUUUUAACGAAAUCUUGAAAAAUAAAAAAAAUAAAACAAAGCAUGAAAUACAGGGGGAAAAUGUGGUUGACUCCUUUAAAAAGAGGAUGGAAACCGGGAAACGAGAAGUAGAAUUAUCAGUGGUUGUUGGUUGUAUAUGUGAGGGUCACUGAUCUGGUAAAAUAACAAAGUCGGAUCAAAGAUGGUUUGAAAUGCAAGGCAGUAAUGCAGAAUUUGCAUGUGUCAAACUGCGGACGCUGCUGACAGCGUUUAAAAGCCGCAAAAACCAGCUUAUCAUUAGGUAGAUGCCAACAAGCUCACAGUCUUCAUUACUCACCCGAGCUUCACCUGAGAAAUGGAAUGCCAGCACGGAUGUGGUGUGGCGUGUUAGAUGUGAAAAAGGAACAGGUACACAGGUAAACAGGUACUGAACUAAAUCAGAUGAUUGCACUUCCUCGUGUGACACCAGCAGCAGUCUGAUUAUAUGAGCCCUGUUCACAUGUAGUAGACAGCAUUCGUUGUGCUUCUAGGAUAGAAUAAAUGGAGCAACAACUGAGAAAAGUUGUAUAAUUAGACAACUGACAUUUAGUGCAGUUCAAGCAUUUUGAAAAUCCCUGUAGUAACAUGUUAAUGUUUCUACACGCUUUUUCAGCUACUUCUUUUUUGACAUUUUGAUUGAAAAUUAACUAAAGCUAUAUUUACUGACUGUGAAUCCACUGUACAUUGCUAGUAAGCACUUUUCUACUGCAGACAAAAAAGCCAUUAAGUGUGUGCCUGUAUUCUUUAGAUGAUACAGAAACCAUUGACAUGAAGUUAUAAUGUCAAAUGUGCUACAUUCCUUUUGCUUUUAGAAAGCUAUUGGUCACAUUUGUGUUGACCUCCUCAGUUUAUAGUUUCAUUAAUUUGGUGUUAUAAUUAAAUAUAUAAACAUGACAGAAGCCGUUUUUAUGAAAUGUUCCAAUGAUUUACAGACAUCUUUACUGCUCAUGAUUUAUUAUCUGACUUUUAUUACAUUACUAUUGCUACUGUGAUACUGAUACUGUGAUUUAUACUGUUCAUUCAAAAUACUUUGCAUUAAAAUGCUAGUUCUCUCAGCACAGGCAUAGCCUUCAUUGUAUACUAUGAAAGCAUGUAAAUAAAAUUGUAGGCAAUUGGACUUGUUUCAGUAGCCUACAAUAUAGCACCUGGAUGAGACCUUCAUCAACAUGUAAAGAACAUUUGCUCACCUAAAAAGUUUAUCAUUUUUAUUCUGAAAAUAAAAAUCAUUGUAAAUUGAGUCUGUGUAGAUUUAUCGGGAUCAUGGCCA